CUCCUACGGGAGGCAGCAGUGAGGAAUAUUGGUCAAUGGGCGGGAGCCUGAACCAGCCAAGUCGCGUGAGGGAAGACGGUCCUACGGAUUGUAAACCUCCUUUGCCGGGGAGCAACGGGGUCCUUGCGAGGGCCCGAUGAGAGUACCCGGAGAAAAAGCAUCGGCUAACUCCGUGCCAGCAGCCGCGGUAAUACGGAGGAUGCGAGCGUUAUCCGGAUUUAUUGGGUUUAAAGGGUGCGCAGGCGGUCUGUUAAGUCAGCGGUCAAGGCCCGGGGCUCAACCCCGGCCCGCCGUUGAAACUGGCA
rnacentral:rRNA from 1 species